CGGGUGCUCGUCGAGCUGGGCUACGACCGCACCGCCUACCAGGAUGUGCCGGCGCCGGCCGGGCUGUUCCCGCAGAUCGAUCCGGCGGUGCUCGCC
rnacentral:tRNA from 1 species